rnacentral:rRNA from 1 species
ACAUGCAAGUCGAGCGGCAGCGCGGGGGCAACCCUUGGCGGCGAGCGGCGGACGGGUGAGGAACACAUCGGAAUCUACCUUGUCUGGGGGAUAACGUAGGGAAACUUACGCUAAUACCGCAUACGACCUACGGGUGAAAGCGGCGGACCGCAAGGCGUCGCGCGAUUGGAUGAGCCGAUGUCCGAUUAGCUAGUUGGCGGGGUAAAGGCCCACCAAGGCGACGAUCGGUAGCUGGUCUGAGAGGACGACCAGCCACACUGGAACUGAGACACGGUCCAGACUCCUACGGGAGGCAGCAGUGGGGAAUAUUGGACAAUGGGCGUAAGCCUGAUCCAGCCAUGCCGCGUGGUGAAGAAGGCCUUCGGGUUGUAAAGCCCUUUUGUCCGGAAAGAAAAGCAUUCGGUUAAUACCCGGGUGUGAUGACGGUACCGGAAGAAUAAGCACCGGCUAACUUCGUG